rnacentral:rRNA from 1 species
AAGGAAUAUUGGUCAAUGGACGGAAGUCUGAACCAGCCAAGUCGCGUGAAGGACGAAGGUAUUAUGUAUUGUAAACUUCUUUUGUAGGGGAAUAAAGUGAGGCUUGCGAGCCUUUUUGCAAGUACCCUGCGAAUAAGGAUCGGCUAACUCCGUGCCAGCAGCCGCGGUAAUACGGAGGAUCCGAGCGUUAUCCGGAUUUAUUGGGUUUAAAGGGUGCGUAGGCGGAGAUUUAAGUCAGUGGUGAAAGUUUAGGGCUCAACCUUAAAAUUGCCAUUGAAACUGGGUUUCUUGAGUACGGUGGAGGUAGGCGGAAUUUGUGGUGUAGCGGUGAAAUGCUUAGAUAUCACGAAGAACUCCGAUUGCGAAGGCAGCUUACCGGACCGUAACUGACGCUGAGGCACGAAAGUGUGGGGAUCAAAC